rnacentral:misc_RNA from 1 species
UAUCCGUAGGUGAACCUGCGGAAGGAUCAUUAUUGUAUAACCAAACUGCGAGAACUGUCGCUGACCCAACACGACGCGCACGCCCGAGUGCCCCCCCACACAUCCAACCCACCCCUACGCGCACCACCGCGUGGCCCCCCCUUUGGCUUGUUCGGAGAGGGGCUUACGGUUUCACAUAAACUAUGAAGUCAGUGUUUACUGUAAUGUUUGUUUUUGCUCUCACGCAGACAAUACAACUUGCAACAACGGAUCUCUUGCCUCUCGCAUCGAUGCAGAACA